rnacentral:rRNA from 1 species
UACGAAGGGGGCGAGCGUUGUUCGGAAUUACUGGGCGUAAAGGGCGCGUAGGCGGCGAUCCGAGUCAGAUGUGAAAGUCCUGGGCUUAACCUGGGGACUGCAUUUGAUACUGGAUUGCUUGAAUUCGGGAGAGGAUAGCGGAAUUCCCAGUGUAGAGGUGAAAUGCGUAGAGAUCCGGAGGAACACCAGUGGCGAAGGCGACGUCCUGGGCCUGACCUGACGCUGAGACGCGACAGCACGGGGAGCGAACGGG